UUUUUUUUUUUUUUUUCAGAGCUGGGAACUGAACCCAGGGCCUUUCCUUUGCUAGGCAAGCGCUCUACAACUGAGCUAAAUCCCCAACCCCGCUAUUUGCUUUUUAAUUUGUCUCUGAAGAUAUCUGUUGGGAGGCCACCUACAGGAAGUACAUUAAACACCAUCUACCAUAAACCUGACUGAUCUCCCCCCCUUCUAUGCACAGCAAGUACCCAUUACUCACAGGCACAAUAGUACUUUUCAAAGGAAGACAUAGGGGGCAAGGUGGGAUCCACUUCUCAUUUUGUCAUGGGCCAGCCUAUUUGUGGUUUGAUGAAGCAAGAUUUCUUCUUUUCAAAACAAUAAAACAUUUUUUGCUGUGUGCUAAGAAGCAGAACUUUUCCUCAGUGUCUUCAUUAACUUGAGUUUAGAUACGACCACGAAUAGAAUCCCCAUGAUGGCACAGUGGC
rnacentral:lncRNA from 1 species